UACGGAGGGUGCGAGCGUUGUCCGGAAUCAUUGGGCGUAAAGGGCGCGUAGGUGGCCCGGUCAGUUCGUGGUGAAAGCGCGGGGCUCAACCCUGCGUCGGCCAUGAAUACUGCCGCGGCUGGAGCACUGUAGAGGCAGGCGGAAUUCCGGGGUGUAGCGGUGGAAUGCGUAGAGAUCCGGAAGAACACCGGUGGCGAAGGCGGCCUGCUGGCGG
rnacentral:rRNA from 1 species